rnacentral:misc_RNA from 1 species
GAUGAAGAACGUAGCGAAAUGCGAUACGUAAUGUGAAUUGCAGAAUUCAGUGAAUCAUCGAGUCUUUGAACGCACAUUGCGCUCCCUGGUAUUCCGGGGAGCAUGCCUGUUCGAGCGUCAUUACAACCCUCAAGCUCUGCUUGGUGUUGGGCCCCGCCGCCCCGGCGGGCCCUAAAGUCAGUGGCGGUGCCGUCCGGCUCCGAGCGUAGUAAUUUUUCUCGCUUUGGAGGCCCGGGCGCGUGCUCGCCAUCAACCCCCAAUUUUUUUCAGGUUGACCUCGGAUCAGGUAGGGAUACCCGCUGAACUUAAGCAUAUCAAUAAGCGGAGGA